GUGGAGGAGCAGGAGUAGAAGCGUCUCCCAUUAAGGGAGAUGUGUGGGGGUGCAUUGCAGUAUUGCUGGAAAGGGGUCGCUGGUGGGGUGAAUAUGGAAUAGGGAGUGAGAUGUAUUUUGAAAGAAGAAUAGAAUUUCAUGGGAAGAGGGCUAAUGGAAAGAGGUGUUUCUGGUUUAAGUAGCUGGAUGCAUGAAAGCGUUAUUUACCAAGAUGACAAUGUCUGGAGGUGUCCUACCAGCGGUUUGAAAAAGAAGUCUGACCUGGCAUGUUGAAUGCAGUAUGAAACCUUUUGAAAUUGAACUUCAAGAGCUUUAUAUCAAGAAGACCUGAUUGUAAGAGAAUUGGAGAGUUACUGACAACGACGGGGCUUGAUUCUGCAGUAGAUCCUGUCCAGAUGAAAAAUGUCACCUUUGAACACAUUAAAGUAGGGGAUCGUGUCAGAACCGAAUUGAACUGCAGGACGUCCUGCUGGCGUCUGAAGUGCUUGAUUAGGGGAAAAACUAAAGCACGUUUGGUGACUGGAGCUAGUGUAGAGUGAGUCAAGGAAAACGAGUGUGUGUAUUUCCUUUACAUUAAGGAGUAUUUUGCACUUAGGUAAAAUGGCGUCCAAAAAUAUUUGAAACUUUAAUACUCUGGGUAAAUGAAGUAGCAGAAGAUAAGUCUUGUUUCAUGACAGGGCUUCGUGUCAGUUUGAAAGCAGCCAGGUGUAAUGGAAUGAAUGUGGACUUCAUGGUCAGUGGACUAAGAUUUUUAAAUUUGAUUUUGAGGCAUUGGCUUGAACAAGUUACUCCAGAUUCUUACAGAUUAUGUAUGUGCUUGGCACACAGUUGAUGCACUGUAAAUGGUACUUCUCUUCGCCCGUUCCUCUUAAUUGAUCUUUGUCCUCUGGUAACUAACCCAACUGUAUUGAAAGAAUAGAACGGAUGAAUGCCAGUUUAUACCCAGUUAGCUGAACCAUUUCUUUAAUAAAUAUUUAAUAGGGUCUACAAAGUGUCAGGCUCUGUUUUACAUACUGGGUAGAAUAAAACAAAUCUCUGCCCUCAUGUUUUAACUGUAAUAGAAAUUGGAUAAUAUGGUAUAUAUGGAAAUAAUAGAGAAUGUUCAAAAAUCGUAAAAUGUUAUGGGAAAAAUAUAGAGCAGGGUGAGGAGGAUUGGGAGUUUUGUUAGAAAGGUCACAACUUGAAAUGAGGUGUUCAGUGUGGUUGAGAAGGUGACAUUUGAGUGAAGAGUUGAAGGUGGGGCGAGCCGUGCAUGUGUGAGGAGAGAGCAUGCCCGACCAGAGGAGAAGCGACAGCAAAGGCCCUGCAGAGCUGACGUGCCCGGCCUGCCCGCUGAGCGGUGGAAAGGCCGCCUCUGUGUGGAUGGAGUGAACGAGGCAGGUGGAGGAAGCUAAACAAGAACUACAGGAAGUUGUUGAAUUCUUGAAAAACCCUCAAAAAUUUACUGUGCUUGGAGGUAAACUUCCAAAAGCCGUUGAUCCAGACAUAACAGCUCGAGGUCGUGCUGGCUUUUCUGGCGCAGGUUGGAGAGUCUUGUGAACCAGGCCGCAUGGAAGGCGGCUGUUGGUGAAGCAACGGUCACCGCGAAGGGGCCGGAGCUCUCCGCAGGUGAAAUCCUAAGGGGGCCUGAAUGUAGAAGCGUGGAAAUCGAUGACAAAAAUCAAACCAUCACAGCAAGUCAUGAAUCUGGGCAAGCUGUCACUGCACAUCACGCUCAAGCUGCCGGGCCUGUCGGCAAGGCCACGGGCACGCUGCGGGGCCAGCACUGGCACAUGUGUCCCUGUUGCCUGAGAGUGACAGAUGGAAUGAAACUAGAGCUCAGCUCCUUGCACAAAUGGGUGUCAGUGUGGGACGAGUGGCAGGGGAGCUGAUAUUUGGAACUGACCAUAUUACAACAGGUUGGCUAUCAAGCGUGGCUUUAGUUCAGAUUGUCUUUGCUGGCUUAAAGAUAUUUUAAAGAAUUAAGUUCUACAUUUACUUUAAAAUUUUAGGAGCCUCCAGUGAUUUUGAUAAUGCAACUAAAAUAUCAGAGUGGAUGGUUACCAAAUUUGGAAUGAGUGAAAGGGUAAAUGGUGAUUUUAAUCCUCCUUCACGUACCAAAUGAUGUUGUGCCAAGUGUCUGUGAGAAAGGUUCUCAUUAGAAAUUGCUAACAUUUACUUUCUCCCUCUUGUUCCAAAUGGACUUGAGGCAGGUUAUUCUAAACUGAACAUUAUUUGCUGAGCAAUAAAAUGGUAGCAUUCUUUUUCUGUUGUAGCUGCUAAGACAGUAAGAGGCCAUCACCUCCUGAGGUAACUGAAUGACAGGACCAGCUGGUCAGCCUUUUCUAGUCACGUGACGUGACAGGCCUGCUUGCCGAGCCUGCCCAUUUGCCCCAUUCACCUGCUUCUCUUCCGCACAUUAUGGCUCCGUGGAGAAACGGUAGCCCUGAAUGGUGCGUUUCUGGGCUUGGAAGAGCUGCCGGGGCUCUCAGACGGUCCUCGGGACCGUACUUACGGUGCCAUAUUUUCUGUCUUGCUCCCACUUUGUUUCAGUCUUUUCCUUUCAGAAGAAUGAUGAAAUUUCUUUGACCUCCAAAGCGAAAAGGAAUCCUGUAAAUGAUGGAAGAGAAUGGAGCAGAGAGAGAGACCGAGCUGGGGCUGAGCUCCUGGCGGAGGCUGACCCCAAGACCCUCAGCUUGAGGCAGACCUGCACGCCCAGGUUCUCCUCAAAGGAACCGCUCCGGACAAGAUGACUCUGACCUGUGAGAUGGAAGAUGUUGCCGCACGGCUGAUACUUAGUAAACACUUGCUGGUCAAAUGAAGUUGUAAAGGACACUGGCCCUCAACUGGCAGAGCCAUAGAUGUAAGCGGUAUUCUGUAAUUAGUCUAAUUGUGGUAACAGGUGAUCUCCAAAUUUAAGCUGCUUAACAUAAUAAAUGUUUUCAUUCACAUUAA